UUGACAGUUUGGCUUCCCUGUUCUGGGUGGCAAAGCCUGUGGAGUACUCACCUACCUGCUGCAUGAAGGCAGCAUGGAGGGACUGUGGUGGAUUAUCUGCAAAGAUGGCCAAAAUUCUCUCAUCCCUGCAGGCACAUACAAGGAAAUUGAAGUAUACAGAAUGCUUAUUUGGUCUACUCAGUAUCAUCCUAAAUGUAUGUACCAAUGCUUAGGAGUUUGCAGUUCACCCGCAAACCUCAGCGAUCCAAGCUCCCCUGGAUGACCAUCACUCACCAAGAAAAGAGCAAUAACAGGACCUGUUUUGCUAAUCCAGGACUGUUCUCCAGCACUAACUCUAAAUAAUCCCUUCUGCUAGAGUCCACUUUCUGGAACCUGUUGGAGAAGACAUCUUACUCUUAUUGGAUCAUGCACAGUGCCUGAAGCAUUCUGUUGCAUGUAGAAGUCAGUAAAUUGCAGAUGUAAGAUUCAAAACCAGACUUCACAUCUACCGACUUCAGUGACCCUGAAAUUUGUUCACAGAGAGCAUUUAACAUAACUGUCUUCAUCAUCUCCUUCUCUACAUUAAAAAUUAUGGUUCACAAAGACGUUAUUGGUGAUUCAAUCUUGAGUCAUGAAAAGUCAACCUUGAGCCACAAAAAGUCAACCUUGAGCCAAGCAGAUUGGAGAGUCAUACAUGCCAUUCCUGGGACCAUCAAAAAUGGCAGAGGUCACACAAAAAGGCAAAACUUUUAAGAGGUGUUUUAAACGUCGUAUGG
rnacentral:lncRNA from 1 species